rnacentral:rRNA from 1 species
CCUUACCAGGGCUUAAAUGUAGAGUGACAGGUCUAGAGAUAGAUUUUUCUUCGGACACUUUACAAGGUGCUGCAUGGUUGUCGUCAGCUCGUGCCGUGAGGUGUCAGGUUAAGUCCUAUAACGAGCGCAACCCCUAUCGUUAGUUGCCAGCAAGUAAAGUUGGGGACUCUAGCGAGACUGCCGGUGCAAACCGUGAGGAAGGUGGGGAUGACGUCAAAUCAUCACGGCCCUUACGUCCUGGGCUACACACGUGCUACAAUGGCCGGUACAAUGAGCAGCCACGUCGCAAGGCGGAGCGAAUCUAUAAAACCGGUCACAGUUCGGAUCGGGGUCUGCAACCCGACCCCGUGAAGCUGGAAUCGCUAGUAAUCGGAUAUCAGCCAUGAUCCGGUGAAUACGUUCCCGGGUCUGUACACACCG